AUGUGCCGAUCACCGCAGCUGCCUUUUUAACAGCCCUACAGUCACGACCUUGUGAGAGUCAUCGAGCGGCACGGCAAGGCAAGGCACAGACGAAAAUGUUGGUCAACUGUUUCGUAGGUAAGAAGAGAUAUCACACAAUGGAUUUUCAAAUCUGACUGGCUAUUUGGCUGGUAACACGACGCGACCAGCAACUCAGGAAAUGUAUGCUACACACACUGUGGAAUACUGCUGCUGCAUAUCCAGCACUACUACGCUAUAUAUAAUGAGUUUCAACAGGCGUUGAUCGUCUAUUCCACAUCGAUAUUGAAUUACACAUUCGACUGCUGCUGCUUGCCGUCGUGCAGGUCAUCAUCAUCAUCAGCGC